rnacentral:rRNA from 1 species
AUUGAACGCUGGCGGCGUGCUUAACACAUGCAAGUCGAACGUGAAAGUCCUUCGGGACGAGUAAAGUGGCGCACGGGUGAGUAACGCGUGGAUAAUCUACCCUUAAGAUGGGGAUAACGGCUGGAAACGGUCGCUAAUACCGAAUACGCUCCCGAUUUUAUCAUUGGGGGGAAAGAUGGCCUCUGCUUGCAAGCUAUCGCUUAAGGAUGAGUCCGCGUCCCAUUAGCUAGUUGGCGGGGUAACGGCCCACCAAGGCAACGAUGGGUAGCCGGUCUGAGAGGAUGACCGGCCACACUGGAACUGGAACACGGUCCAGACUCCUACGGGAGGCAGCAGUGGGGAAUAUUGCGCAAUGGGCGAAAGCCUGACGCAGCGACGCCGCGUGAGGGAUGAAGGUUCUCGGAUCGUAAACCUCUGUCAGGGGGGAAGAAACCCCCUCGUGUG